rnacentral:lncRNA from 1 species
GUUUGCAGCCUGCAGCUGGGAGAUUUGAAGUCAGACUUCCAGGAUUGCCGCAUGGAGCUGCAGAGGGAGUGAGCAUGGGGCUGGAGGACCUGCCCCGCCGGCUGACACUCCCACAGCAAGGCGGGCCCGCCAAGGAAGCACUCCACAUCCGCUAGAAAUGCUGGCAGAAAGCACUGGCCACCAUACAGGACAGACCACACCACAGCUCCAUACCCAGCGUCUGCCUGGAGGCUCCCCCACGCUGAGGUCCGGGAGAAUGCCUGGUUUCAGUCAUUUCCGGACUAACUGUGACAACGCGUGAGCAGGGAGCACCGUGCGAGUCUCCGGGAGGGAAUCCUCCUGGGGCCCAGAGACUCCUCCACCCCUGGGGAGGGCAGACAGGCUCGGGAGGGCCUGGCCAGGCCACUGGAGGCUGGCAGGGAGCAGGCAUGUCCACCCGCAAGCCUGGGAGGCUAACUCUGGCAUUCCUGGCCGGAGCCGCCAUGCUCAUUGGUGGGCCAGUUUGGGACAUCCCCGUACUCAAAGACCAUAUGGC